AGUUGAGACAGAACUAACUUGUUAUCAAUGGUGAGACAGAACUAACUUGUUAUCAAUGGAUAAUAUGGAUUCAAAUUCAGACUCUGCUCGUUUGGACAACUCUUCAGAGCUGACACAGAGCUAACACAGAGCUAACUUGUUGUCAAUGGAUUGACAAUGGAUUCAAUUUCAGACUCAGCUCGUUUGGACAAACUCUUCAGAGCUGACACAGAGCUAACUUGUUGUCGAUGGAUUGACAAUGGAUUCAAAUUCAG